CUGCCCCCCUCUGUGCCCCUCCAGUACAAGGAGCACCCCGCCCCGCGCCCCGACGACGAGCGCUCGUAGCCCGCGCCCGCCCCUCGUGCCGUGCGUGUCCUGCAGACUUCUUGUUCUUUGCAGUAUCCCCGUACAGGCCCGACACGACACGUCGAGGUAAACCAACGCAUUUACCUGCGUUAUAUCUCAGCAGAAAUCGGUGGCGCCCAGAUACUUCAUUAGAAACCUGUGACUGGAUCGCUGUUUGCCUUGAGGGUUCUGCGAAAUACGAAGUUUUUUAUCCCUCUUUAUCCCAAGCUUUUAGAAAAGGAGGUAUAGAUUUCGAGUUUCGUAGGAUUAAGCAGUUCUGUUUGUAAGUAUGGGUGCAGAGAUAUCGGAAUUCAAUGGACAUACGUUACUAGAAGUAAAGCGAUCUUGCUAUCUCUUUUACGCGUGAUAUUAAGUAGCAAUUUUAUACAGAGAUGGAGUAUUGUUUUUGGCAUUUAAAGAUCGGAUUAAAAUUUCGAUAUGUAUGUAACAACGUCUAUAUUAAAUCAAUCAAAAUGUAUGUACCUUAAAUUUAAAACAAAAGUAGUAUUAUACGUACUUAUGUAUUCAGCUCGCACGGAUGCUUAUAUCGCUCCACCAAUACUUUUAAAACUUAACUGACGUGAACUAUGGUUGCCACCAAUAUAACUUUUAAAUUACCAAAUAUAACCUCAAAUACAUCAUUUAAUGAACAAUCUUGUGUCUACACCCUAAAACAGACUGAAAAAUAUCACUAUUAGUAAUAAGAAUUGUUACCUAGUUAUUAAAUAAUAAUUUUACUAAUCAUUUUCCUAUCUGUGACGCACAAUAAAUAUUGUAAAAGCUUGGGUUAUUAAUAAACUAGUACAAAAUCAUUAUCAAAUAAAUAGAUGCGAGAAAGUUCAUUAAAACGACUAUUUAAAUCAAUUUUGAGGUUAUGUUUUUUGUUAUAAGCUUUAUUGGUGGUAACAGUGUUCGCGCUAGCAAUAUCAGUAUAUUGAGUAUGUUGUCGAUCCAGUUGUAUAUAAGCAAUACAAUGUAAACAAUAGCUCGUGAACUCUCACUCAUUUUCAGCGACUUUUGGACGCAGCGCCAUUUUUUUACUUAUUUAAAAAAAAUGCAAAACACGAUCUUCCAAAACUUACAGAAAGGCACGGCGCGGUACGAUGCUGCCAUAUUUCUAUAUUUGAACAGGUUUUAAUAUUAUGUUUGAUAAAGUUACAAUAAUCAUACUUACCUACGAUCCGUCCACACCAAGCAAACGAACAACUAAUGGCCUUUACAAACUUUCACUGAUAAUCGCAUGCGUUUUGAUGCCAUUUGUUGGGCCGUCUGUAGAUGCCUUAAUGUACGAAUAGAUUGCUGUCAUAUGGCUGCGUUCCUCUCGGUUUUCGUUGGUUGCUUAGUGUGGACGCACCACUGGAACAGUGGCAUAUUUUCAUUUUCAAAGUACCCAAUGUAUGUAGUUACGUUUUCAUAAUAUUCCAUCUAAAUGUUUUUACAGUACAUAUGGUCCUAUUUUCCCGCACUAGUGCGUAAAAUAGCACUUUUCGUGCGAUGUCAAAAGUUUAAAGGGCUAUAUGUACUGUAAAACGUUGUACGAUACACGUGCGAAUAAGUAAUUCGCAACUCGUGUCGAUUUAAAACACUCCCUUCGGUCGUGUUUUAAUUUAUCGCCACUCGUUUCGAAUUUCCUAUUUUUCGCACUUGUAUCGUAAAUAACUAUUUUAGCUCUCAUUAGGGAUAUAGUGUAUAUGCACUGGCCAUUUUAUAACACUGUUUUUGUCUUGUCAUUGUGUAUUUUUCAUUUUUCGUCGAUAUAUUCAAUUAGUUUCCAAAAGAACUCUCAGUGUAAUAGUUUCAAUCAAUAUUUAUUAAUACAAAUUGUAUGAUAUUGUAUGGACGUAGUUCAUAAGUAUGUUGUAUGAUUUGAAGCCAAGUUGGCAGUUUUAAAAAUAUAGAAUAAAUGAAUUGAAAGUUUUAGAUAAGUUGACUGAUAUGAAACUGAGUGAGAUUACGAAUUAUUUUGUAGCUGUGUUCCACUCUAUACUUCCAUAGCCAUUGACGGGUGAAAUAAUUAACAGUUUUUUGACUGUUAAAUUGUUUAGAAAACCCCAAUGAUAUUACAACUUCAGAUAGGUUAUAUGCGUUCCAAAAUCAAAGUGCUUAAAUUGUACUAUUACUCUUUAGUGGCACUUAGGCACAUGGAAAAAGAAAAUGUAACAAAGAUGAAUGGUAUACGAAAAUUAAUCAAAAAAAAACAGAUUCAUUUGUAGGUAAUUAAAUAAAUAUGGAAGUACAGAUGUAGUUCAUAUUUUCUCGAUAACGUUCGUAUUUGUCAUGCUACUUCAGUCAACCUGAGCACUCUGCGUACUUGCCGAGACUGGCUGAAAUAACAAGACACGUUCGUAUGUACGUUUCCGUGAAAAUAAUAAUGCACUACAUUUGUAUUUUUGUGCUCCUUAUGUAUAAGUAUAACCUACCUAAAGUAAUAUGUGACGUUCCAAGGCAAAAAGUACCUUAUGGCGGCCGGCGCUUAAGUCGCAAAGCGCCGCAAUCAUAUUGGAGCGGUGUUAAAAAUAGCGUAAGCGCCAACUGCCAUAAGGUACCUUUACCCGUGGGACGUCACAUAUAAUAUAUAAUAUUGUAGAGAACUCACACUUUAUGCUUUAUUCUUGAGGAUGAAACCCCGUGAGAUAUUCUAGUGAAAACAAUUUAACAUCAAAAAGCCUUUUAUUAUUUUCACACAUACAGAAGCGACUUCUAUUGUGAUUUCCCUGUAACCAUGUCUAAAUCGCCCAUGCGAUUCAGCAGACCCAUUCUCACAACGCGCAGUGUAUAUAAUAGUAAAAUUGAGUGAAAUAUCAGAUUUUGUAAUUGUGAGAAUGUGUUGUGUCGCCCAUAGUUCUUGUACAGUUUAAACUGGUUUACUGAAAAUAAAGAAUCAGCCUUUGUAUACUUUCAAA